rnacentral:rRNA from 1 species
GACGAACGCUGGCGGCGUGCUUAACACAUGCAAGUCGAACGGAAAGGCCCUGCUUGCGGGGUGCUCGAGUGGCGAACGGGUGAGUCACACGUGGGUGAUCUGCCCCUUACUUUGGGCUCCGACUGGGAAACUGGGUCUCCUACUGGAUAGGGCCAUGCUGAAGGUGGGGUGGUGGAAAGAUUAGUUUCGGUAAGGGAUGAGCUCGCGGCCUAUCAGCUUGUUGGUGGGGUAAUGGCCUACCAAGGCGUCGACGGGCAGCCGGCCUGAGAGGGUGGUCGGCCACAUUGGGACUGCUAUACGGCCCAGACUCCUACGGCAGGCAGCAGUGGUGAAGAUUGCUCAAUGGGCGCAAGCCUGAUGCAGCGGCGCCGCCGGGGGGAUGACGGCCGUCGUGUUGUAAACUCCUUUCAGCCAUGACGAAGCCCUUGUGGUGACGGUAGUGGUAGAAGAAGCACCGGCUAACUACGUG